AGUGAACGCUGGCGGUGGGCCUAAUACAUGCAAGUCGAACGGCAGCACAGUAAGAGUGCGCUCUUACGGGUGGCGAGUGGCGGACGGGUGAGGAAUACAUCAGCAUCUACUUUUUCGGGGGGGAUAACGUAGGGACACUUACGCUAAUACCGCAUACGUUGUACGGGUUAAAGCAAUGGAGCUUGGCAGCUUUCGCGUUUGAUUGAGAUGGUUUCGCAUUAGCUAGUCGGUAGGGUAAAGGCUCACCAAGGCGACGCUGCGUAGCUGGUCUGAGAGGAUGAGCGGCCACACUGGAACUGAGACACGGGCCAGACUCCGACGGGAGGCAGCAGUAGGGAAUCUUCCGCAAUGGGCGAAAGCCUGACGGAGCAACGCCGCGUGAGUGAUGAAGGUCUUCGGAUCGUAAAACUCUGUGAUUAGGGAAGAACAAAUGUGUAAGUAACUAUGCACGUCUUGACGGUACCUAAUCAGAAAGCCACGGCUAACUACGUG
rnacentral:rRNA from 1 species